GUGAAAGUGAAAGUGGUAGAUAGACGGAGCAUGAUCCAGCAUGUUUUUGGGGGACAGAAUCCCGAAGAAAGUUGCUGAUGCAGUGCUGGGAGGAUGCAAGGAGAUCAAUCCACCCCACAUGGUAGCCUCCCAACAGGUAUUUUAUAUUGGUUGUAAGACUUUGGGUGGACUGCUGUUGUGGGACUUGGACCCGGGAACCAUCAGAUGCCUGAUGAGGAAGACAAGAGGAUGGAACGGGUGUUCAAGACCGCCGAAUGUUACUCACAAAGGAUGAAUGUAAUACACAUGAGGGGGCACCAGUCUUGUCAAUAAAAAAAGUCUCUUCAAAAAGUGGCCUUUUCCCCCUGUGUAGAGGAAGUGUGUUAUAAGUGUGUUAAUAAGAAUGUAGUAAUAAGUCUCUGGUCCUGGGGCUUGUCUGAAGCAGAUUACUUCUACAACAUGAUUUAGUCCAGGAGUGUCCAGGCCUGUUCUAAUGACUUUGCGUAGAAGAUUGAGCCUCUUCGGCUUUCUCGGAAAAAUUAAUUAUGACUUUGGCUGAAAAUCUUACUUGGAGGUCACGGUCACAAAGUAAAAAGCUCCUUUGAAAUCAACCAGUGAUACAACACAUAACAAAUUAAUGCAAAAGCAAUUAUUUGACUCAGCAGUUUGUACCAAUUUCUUCUGAAAUGAGGUUCUUGACACUGCAUUCCUGCCACUGGAAAUCAUUGUUAUGUGUGAAAGUACCAUUUUCUCCACUUACCAGAAGCUAAAGUU